rnacentral:rRNA from 1 species
GAUGAACGCUGGCGGCGUGCCUAAUACGUGCAAGUCGAGCGAACAGACGAGGAGCUUGCUCCUCUGACGUUAGCGGCGGACGGGUGAGUAACACGUGGAUAACCUACCUAUAAGACUGGGAUAACUUCGGGAAACCGGAGCUAAUACCGGAUAAUAUAUUGAACCGCAUGGUUCAAUAGUGAAAGACGGUUUUGCUGUCACUUAUAGAUGGAUCCGCGCCGCAUUAGCUAGUUGGUAAGGUAACAGCUUACCAAGGCAACGAUGCGUAGCCGACCUGAGAGGGUGAUCGGCCACACUGGAACUGAGACACGGUCCAGACUCCUACGGGAGGCAGCAGUAGGGAAUCUUCCGCAAUGGGCGAAAGCCUGACGGAGCAACGCCGCGUGAGUGAUGAAGGUCUUCGGAUCGUAAAACUCUGUUAUUAGGGAAGAACAAAUGUGUAAGUAACUAUGCACGUCUUGACGGUACCUAAUCAGAAAGCCACGGCUAACUACGUG